rnacentral:rRNA from 1 species
AAAUUGAAGAGUUUGAUCAUGGCUCAGAUUGAACGCUGGCGGCAGGCCUAACACAUGCAAGUCGAACGGUAACAGGAAGCAGCUUGCUGUUUCGCUGACGAGUGGCGGACGGGUGAGUAAUGUCUGGGAAACUGCCUGAUGGAGGGGGAUAACUACUGGAAACGGUAGCUAAUACCGCAUAACGUCGCAAGACCAAAGAGGGGGACCCUCGGGCCUCUUGUCAUCGGAUGUGCCCAGAUGGGAUUAGCUUGUUGGUGGGGUAACGGCUCACC